UGCGAUUCUUGGGUAAUGCACCCUGGAAUCGGGCUUCCUCCUCUCUGGUUCCGGGUGCGUCACCCGAGAACCACA
rfam:Myotis brandtii contig287725, whole genome shotgun sequence.